GUGGGGAAUAUUGGACAAUGGGGGGAACCCUGAUCCAGCCAUGCCGCGUGUGUGAAGAAGGCCUUUUGGUUGUAAAGCACUUUAAGCGAGGAGGAGGCUACCGAGAUUAAUACUCUUGGAUAGUGGACGUUACUCGCAGAAUAAGCACCGGCUAACUCUGUGCCAGCAGCCGCGGUAAUACAGAGGGUGCAAGCGUUAAUCGGAUUUACUGGGCGUAAAGCGCGCGUAGGUGGCCAAUUAAGUCAAAUGUGAAAUCCCCGAGCUUAACUUGGGAAUUGCAUUCGAGACUGGUUGGCUAGAGUAUGGGAGAGGAUGGUAGAAUUCCAGGUGUAGCGGUGAAAUGCGUAGAGAUCUGGAGGAAUACCGAUGGCGAAGGCAGCCAUCUGACCUAAUACUGACACUGAGGUGCGAAAGCAUGGGGAGCAAACAGGAUUAGAAACCCCGGUAGUCC
rnacentral:rRNA from 1 species